AAAAUCGGCGAGCUCCGCCGAGCGGGCGGGGCAAGGCCGAGGUGGCAGCUCCUGCGAGACCCCAAGGAAGAGGGGAGCAUCGGGGGCUACUCUGGAAAUUGCAAAAAUCCGAAACUGCAAUUCGAACAGGAAGUGGAUUUUUUUUUUUUUUAAGUCGAGACUUGGGACGCCAAGCACAAAACCCAGGGACAGCCCGGGAAGGAGGGACCAGGUGUCCUGGGGCGGCCGCCGGGCACGUCUGGAGGUCCCCGAGUCUCCUUCCCACCCCUCUGGCUGCAGCGGCCACGGACUGACUGGAGGGAGAGUUUCCCGCCCCGGCGCAGCGCCCGCCCGGGUACCGUCCCCACCGCGCCUGGGCAGCCCCUCUCGGGAAAUGGUGGAGGCCGCGGGACCUUCUCGGCCACCUCCUCCAGCAGCUCGAUGCUCUGGUUACCAGAUCCGCGUUUACUUUGGAAAAAUCUAAGAUCGCCACAUCCGAGGAUACAUGUCUUAAGGAGGCGAUGAGCUUCCCGUGAUUUUUUUUUGUAAGAGAUUCUUUGGGUAGCUUUCUUUAAAAGCCAGCGCCUCGUAGUAUGCCCAGGCGCCCCAGUUUGGGGAAGUCGGGGUGAAGCCCCCUGGAACACCCUCACACUGGCAAAGAAGCUGCCUCGGCUAUCUGCGGGCUCCGCUGCGUUCUCCUUACUUUUCUCCCCCUCUUAAAUGGAGUUAAAAUGGCUGAAUUCCGGCUUUUAAUUAAAAACAGCCUAUAAUCG
rnacentral:antisense_RNA from 1 species